GACUGGCUUGCGGCUAGGCAUGGACAGAUGUGCGCCAGAGCUGACUGCAGGCUCCUCGCCUUCUGAAAGCUGGGUUUCUACAUGCUUCACAAAACCAAGGGCAUUGAGGACCCCCCAGGCAAUCAAAAGGCACCUAGCAGGUGUCUGUGGCGCUGUAAGGACCUUGCAGAAAGGACAUAAGGUUGCAAAGUCCUUUCUCUCUGGACUAAGCAUGGCUGGAGUCACAAACAGGAGUAAAACAACCCAGAAAGAUGCUCCUGCUAGGGCUGGCAGAGAGAGAAAAACCUUCUGAAGCCGGGAAAGGGAGAGAUCUCGUCCAGGGUUCAGGGUGCUUCUUUCCUCUGCACUGACUUCAACCAUCCUCUGGAGAUGGAGACCAGAAGAGAGGCAGGAGAAGGAGCCAUGUUGUGUCUUGCUUCCUGUGUGGUUUCCUUUCCUUGCCCAUCACUUUCGUUAUCCAGAAUUUACUUUUCUGCUAGUCUACUAAUGUUAGCUCAGCAGCUCUGGCACUUUCCAAAGACACUUAGAGACCUUAGCCUCACGCUAGAGUUUUUUCUCCAGUCCAAAACACCACCUGUGUAAACCUCCCAGUCCUCUUUCUGAUGAGAAAACUGCUACGUUUUCAGGUAUAACACCCAGGUGGUAAAUAGCAACCAAAUGGCAAUUGCAGAACACAAGAUGUCUGGUCUCUCUUGUGAGAAAAGCAUGAGCGACUACUAAGAGCACCUACCAGAAGCUUGCUAGUACUUCAGCCACAGUGAGACAAACUCAGCUUUACUGUCUACCAUGAGGAACCUGGCUUUGGAGAAGUUUAUAAAAGUUAGGAGAUAUUUUUAUCCUCCACAUCUCUUUCUUCAAGAUGCUAUUGAAACUAGAAGACAAACACUUUGGAUGAUGAUAAAUGGGAACGGGAACAAGGCGCUUGAUCUGUAAUUUUACGGAAAAAUUCCAUUAUUAUUUAGAGAUUCCUGGAUGGAUGAAGGCCUGAAAAGUCACCUGGUAAAUGAUGUUUUGAAAAGCAACUACAGGGCUGUCACUCUAUAGCUUGAAGUCACAAGCAAAAAAUGGCUUAUAUAGAAGAAAAAGCCCUUUUUUCUGAGGAGAUAGGAAGGCUGACAGAACCUCUGCUAUGGCUGAGGAACAAAUGAAUACAGAAGAAAAUAGUUACAGAACCCAUUACAAGAUGAAAUUAUUAAUAUUAACUGUAGUCAAGAGUCAGAAUGGUGAAUGAGGGAAAUAUACUGGAAGAAAAAAAUGAAUAAAUCCAAGAAAGACUACAUGAACUUUACUUGACUCUGAUAAAUCUUUCUGGCAGCUUUCAAAUAUCUGUGGCAAUUUGUAUGGAACCAAAUGGAAAAUUAAGCAAAGACUUUAUUCCUUGCAUAUUCAAAAACUGAUAAUAAUUUCUUUUGGUGUUUUAUUAUUGCCGUAGAUUACAUUUCUUUGAUACUACUUGAAUGGAACCCUUUUGACCAUGGAGGGAAUCAAAACAGCUUAUCUGAAGCUCUGAUUAAUAAAAAUCUCCCUUUGUGUGGAAGUGUUGCCUAACUUUCAAAAUGGAAAUUAAAAACCUGAAUUUCGCACCUCCGAGUCUUUCAUGUAAACAGUUGUUACUGCUUUCAAAUGCUCCAUGGACAAACUGGAAUUGCAUGAGAGGGGACUCAUCUGGGACCACUAAUCUUUUUGCCAGUGAUUUAAACCUAGUGUACAUUAGGAGUCAUUUCUUCUAGUUCUUUUCCAAAGUAUCUCAAUUUUCAAUGGCAUGCAUGUCCAAUAAUUUCCUCGAAAGGAUGAAAUUCCCCCAGUGCGAUAUUGGUACGUUUAUAUGGAAAUGAGGAGCCUGGAGUAGGAAGGGAAUCUACUGGAAGCAGCCAGAUAUCUGGCUGAGAAGGAGGCUGAAAUAGGUGUAAUUUCAUCACCCAGAAGUGCAAUGUCCAUGCUGCAGCCAAUUAGUCUUGUUCCUCAGAACUGGGAACACUGCAUCUACCAGCUUCAUGGUGAAAAAGGCAAACUCACACUGGCAACAGAGAGAGCCUGAAAACCUAGUGACUUACUAGCAUUCUGCUCUAGUGAGAAAUACACACGAUGCCGGCUAUCUUGUCAGAGAAAAGGGCUGGCGAUGCUAACUGAAAUCUGAACCAUUCAAAGGAGGGCAAAUCCUGCAUCCUGGAGCUGCAGGUUCCUGUCUGUAUCAUGCAGCCAAGGCUGCAGUACCCAUUUGUUUUGGUGGGCAAACACAGAGGAUGGAGAGCGCACUGGUGCAGCAAACAGUUAGCAAUAAAGUAGGACAGACCACAGUGCAGGGCACAGGGCACAGGCAAGCACACUGACUAGCACCUGCUUACACGUAACUGGCCUUUUCUAUCCCCUUAUCCCUCUAUAUUCCCAUGCUUAUUCCUUCUCAGUCCAUCUUGAUCUCUCCCCGUGGUUCUUCCCCUAAACACUGCAUAAUAAGCUUCACACAUUCCCACAGUCCUGUCUAAACUUCCUGUAAUAAGCUUUAGAUAGUGCGACAAUCCCCCUGAAAUAUCUCAAAAUAAAUUUGCUCUUUCCCAUGAGA